GGGCCGGUAGCUCAGUCGGUAGAGCAUAUGCCUUUUAAGCAUAGGGUCGCGGGUUCGAGUCCCGCCCGGCUC
rnacentral:tRNA from 1 species